rnacentral:ncRNA from 2 species
GUCUAUCUUCGGGGCAGGGUGAAAAUCCCGACCGGCGGUGAUGAACUAUUUAUGAUUUCGUUCUAAGCCCGCGAGCCGUUAAGGCAGGAUUUGGUGUGAUUCCAAAGCCGACAGUAUAGUCUGGAUGGGAGAAGAUGGAG